rnacentral:lncRNA from 1 species
AUGGCACCGAUCAUGGAGGGCACACACACCGUGUUGCUCCUAUAUGCACCCAUCCGUGAACUAAGCAACAUCAGCCUGUAUUUCCCGAAGAGGCGGGUCCCGAGCUUCAAGUACAAGAGCCGCGCCCCUCAUUCAGAAAGGGCCGGUAAUGACCAUGACUGGGGAAAGGAGGAUCUUGCAGUGUCCGAACAAAGAGGCCAGUCUUCUGGCUCCUCAGGCGGACUCCUUAACUCCCAGCAGGCAACAAAGGAAGUUGUUGCAGAGCUCUGCUGGCUGGCAGCGGAGCACCACCAGUUGCUGGCGGAUCUCUUAUCGCUGUGUAGGGUUUGUGCCAACAAAGUCAGGAUGGGUAACCAGGAUGGGAAACUACAGGAUUACAUGGAGGGUCAGGAGGUUCACCUUGGCGGUCAGGUUCUCAGCAGCAGCAACUCUUCUCCCUCUGUGCCUCCAGAGAAUAAGAAAGCUGCGUCCAAGAGCAAAAAGCUAAAGAAGUCGGGAGGCAAGAAGCUUGACAGUGCUGAGAAUUUCCUGCACAGCAAGAUGAAGAAGAAGGUUACGAACAGAACUCCAUCUAUUGUGCUUCCUGCUGACAACAAUGUGUCUGUAUCUUCAGCCUCAGACGUGGACAGGAUCCCAGGUACCCCACCUUCUGUCCUCAUGUCUGACAGCCCUGUCACCGGUUCUUAUGUCAGUGCAGUCAGCAAUCCCAUCCUGCCCAUGGAGGAACCCUUCCAAAUCUCUCGUGAGGGGUGGGACCUCAUGGAGGACAACCGGACAUUUGACCCUGACAUGGAUUUCUGCACCGACUUCUCUGAAUACGAUGGCGAGCUGGGUUUUGAAUCGUCAUUUUGCAGCCUGAUGGACGGUCUGACCCGACGGGAAAGCGGCAGCAACCUUCGACCUCUUAAGAGAUUUGAUUCCUUGGGUGAGACCGAGGGUGCGUCAACAGUCAAGUCUGCUCAGCAGAUGUAUGAUGAGAUCAACCAGAGUAAUACAGGGGUCAGGGUGGUGGCCAAAGUGCAGGAGGUAGAAGGUAGAGUGCAACAUGUCAGCCAUAGAAGCUCAGACAGGGCAGGGCCGACCAUGCUGCAUCCAGGGACUAGCAGCUGCCAGCAAGAGUAUGGCCAGUGGAGAGGACCAAAUGGAGACCACAAGACGAGUAACAAGCUCUCUGAGGGGCUACGGUUGCCUCUAUCCCAUACCACCGAACCAUACACUCAAACCAAGUCACGCUUAAGGAGCCCUACUUCACCUUCUCUCGCAGGGGUCUUCAACACAUCUUUCCCUGCCUCCAACAGUCUCCAGAGCAUGUCCCCAGUCCUGUCCCCUCUGUCCUCAAAGCAGGCAAGCCCGCAGUUCAACCACCGCAUCGUACUCCUCUCAGACAAGGACGUGGACCACGAACAAGACAGCUCCAGCAACACGGACGAGGCCAGAAUCUUCAGCGAGGUCAUCGACAAGAACGGCAACAAGCGAACCGUCACCCGUCUGGAUCUGAACCUCGGCAGGCGGCCCAGCAACUCCAAGUGGAACUCCUCAAGCAACUCCACGACAACAGGUGAGUUAUUAGAUGCUCCUACUCUGAACACACUGAUUCAUGUUAGAACAUCCUGCCUUCAUCUAGAUGGUGACACGGGUGCUUUUAUCAUCUCAGUACCGUGA